AGAGUUUGAUCCUGGCUCAGAAUGAACGCUGGCGGCGUGCUUUACACAUGCAAGUCGAGCGAGGCGUGUAGCAAUACACAGUCGAGCGGCGAACGGGUGAGUAACGCGUGGAUAACCUGCCCAGAGGUGGGGGAUAACCCGGGGAAACUCGGGCUAAUACCGCAUGAUACCGAGAGGUCAAAGGCGGCUCGCAAGGGCUGUCGCCAUUGGAGGGGUCCGCGUACGAUUAGCUAGUUGGUAGGGUAAUGGCCUACCAAGGCGACGAUCGUUAGCCGGCCUGAGAGGGUGAUCGGCCACACUGGAACUGAGACACGGUCCAGACUCCUACGGGAGGCAGCAGUGGGGAAUUUUGCGCAAUGGGCUAACGCCUGACGCAGCAACGCCGCGUGGAGGAUGAAGGUCUUUGGAUUGUAAACUCCUGUCAGCAGGGAAAAAGCAACUCAACCUCAUACGUUGAGAAGUUGAUUGUACCUGCAGAGGAAGCCCCGGCUAACUCUGUGCCAGCCGCCGCGGUAAUAC
rnacentral:rRNA from 1 species